rnacentral:rRNA from 1 species
UACGUAGGGUGCAAGCGUUGUCCGGAAUUAUUGGGCGUAAAGAGCUCGUAGGCGGCUCGUCACGUCGGCUGUGAAAUCCCGAGGCUCAACCCCGGGUCUGCAUUCGAUACGGGCAGGCUAGAGUGUGGUAGGGGAGAUCGGAAUUCCUGGUGUAGCGGUGAAAUGCGCAGAUAUCAGGAGGAACACCGGUGGCGAAGGCGGAUCUCUGGGCCAUUACUGACGCUGAGGAGCGAAAGCGUGGGGAGCAAACAGG